GAUGAACGCUGGCGGCGUGCCUAAUACAUGCCAGUCGAGCGAACGGACGAGAAGCUUGCUUCUCUGAUGUUAGCGGCGGACGGGUGAGUAACACGUGGAUAACCUACCUAUAAUACUGGGAUAACUUCGGGAAACCGGAGCUAAUACCGGAUAAUAUUUUGAACCGCAUGGUUCAAAAGUGAAAGACGGUCUUGCUGUCACUUAUAGAUGGAUCCGCGCUGCAUUAGCUAGUUGGUAAGGUAACGGCUUACCAAGGCAACGAUGCAUAGCCGACCUGAGAGGGUGAUCGGCCACACUGGAACUGAGACACGGUCCAGACUCCUACGGGAGGCAGCAGUAGGGAAUCUUCCGCAAUGGGCGAAAGCCUGACGGAGCAACGCCGCGUGAGUGAUGAAGGUCUUCGGAUCGUAAAACUCUGUUAUUAGGGAAGAACAUAUGUGUAAGUAACUGUGCACAUCUUGACGGUACCUAAUCAGAAAGCCACGGCUAACUACGUG
rnacentral:rRNA from 1 species